CAGGGCGUGAGGGAAAACCGAUUGUAUUUCUGCUCGAGAGCCGACUACCAACGCCGGAGUUUUUUGUCGUUAAGCUGUGUGUGACUGUAGAAAAGUUGGCCAGGCUUCUCUUUUUGAUGGCGAGCUAAGGAAAAGAAGCAUCUAGUCCAAGGAUCGUUCUUGGAAGAUUCCAGCCAGGAACCCCACCACCUGUUCCGUCUGGGCGGGUAGGAGGCUCUCGAGCCGACCCUUUACAUUUUUUCAUCUUUAACCUGCAGUACAUGGACUGUACUGCCAUCCUUUUUUUCAAGAACUCUAAGUCUGAACUGAGAUUUAUUCAAGAUCCAGAGACACUAAUUAAUGGAAUUAGAAUUGUAUAUAUGUAUAUAGUAACUGUGUUGUUUUCCAAAUUACUUUCAUGUUGAAUGGCCACAAAU